AUCUAGUUGACGAGUCUCAAAUAGGACUAAACGCGCGUCAAACUGUAU
rfam:Schistosoma rodhaini strain Burundi genome assembly, scaffold: SROB_scaffold0000176